rnacentral:tRNA from 1 species
AAGGAGUUAGUUUAUUAAAUAAAACAUUAAUUUGUCAAUUUAAAAAAAAUUGCUUUAAAAUUACCCCUUA